rnacentral:rRNA from 1 species
AGUGAACGCUGGCGGUAGGCCUAACACAUGCCAGUCGAACGGCAGCACAGUAAGAGCUUGCUCUUACGGGUGGCGAGUGGCGGACGGGUGAGGAAUACAUCGGAAUCUACUUUUUCGUGGGGGAUAACGUAGGGAAACUUACGCUAAUACCGCAUACGACCUACGGGUGAAAGCAGGGGAUCUUCGGACCUUGCGCGAUUGAAUGAGCCGAUGUCGGAUUAGCUAGUUGGCGGGGUAAAGGCCCACCAAGGCGACGAUCCGUAGCUGGUCUGAGAGGAUGAUCAGACACACUGGAACUGAGACACGGUCCAGACUCCUACGGGAGGCAGCAGUGGGGAAUAUUGGACAAUGGGCGCAAGCCUGAUCCAGCAAUACCGCGUGGGUGAAGAAGGCCUUCGGGUUGUAAAGCCCUUUUGUUGGGAAAGAAAAGCAGCAGGUUAAUACCCCGCUGUUCUGACGGUACCCAAAGAAUAAGCACCGGCUAACUUCGUG